rnacentral:rRNA from 1 species
UACAGAGGCCUCGAGCGUUAGGCGGAAUCACUGGGCUUAAAGCGUGUGUAGGCGGACUUCUAAGUACCUUGUGAAAUCCCACGGCUCAACCGUGGAACUGCUCGGUAUACUGGUUGUCUUGAGCCAUCUAGGGGAGAACGGAAUUCCUGGUGUAGCGGUGAAAUGCGCAGAUAUCAGGAGGAACAGCCGGUGGCGAAGGCGGGUCUCUGGGCCGUAACUGACGCUGAGGAGCGAAAGCAUGGGGAGCGAUCCGG